rnacentral:rRNA from 1 species
UACGUAGGGUGCGAGCGUUGUCCGGAAUUAUUGGGCGUAAAGGGCUCGUAGGCGGUUGGUCGCGUCGGGAGUGAAAACCUCGGGCUUAACUCGGGGCUUGCUUUCGAUACGGGCAGACUGGAGGUAUGCAGGGGAGAACGGAAUUCCUGGUGUAGCGGUGAAAUGCGCAGAUAUCAGGAGGAACACCGGUGGCGAAGGCGGUUCUCUGGGCAUGACCUGACGCUGAGGAGCGAAAGUGUGGGGAGCGAACAGG